AAAGAAAUUGACGGGGACCCGCACAAGCGGUGGAGUAUGUGGCUUAAUUCGAUGCAACGCGAAGAACCUUACCUGGCAUUGACAUGCAUCUCUAAUCCGGUGAAAGCCGGUGAGUGUAGCAAUACACAAUUUGCACAGGUGCUGCAUGGCUGUCGUCAGCUCGUGUCGUGAGAUGUUGGUUUAAGUCCCGCAACGAGCGCAACCCCUGUGAACUGUUGCCAUGGAGACGUGAGUCUCCGGCACUCUGUUCAGACUGCCCUGUUCAACGGGGAGAAAGGUGGGAACGACGUCAAGUCAGUAU
rnacentral:rRNA from 1 species